UGACCUUUAUAGACCUUCAACGCAAUAUAACUCGCCGGUCGAUCAACGAGAAGAAGUGAGCAAAGUAUCGUUCUUAUUUAACAAUUUAUCCAAUAAUUUGAAGGUCAUUGAAGUUUAUUAUUGAAAAUAUGUCACUAACAAAGACUGUCUACAACAAUCUCUUCAGGAGAUCUUCAACAUUUGCACUCACAAUCCUUGUUGGAGCAUUUUUCUUCGAGAGAGUAUUCGACAGGACCGCUGAUGGGUUGUUCAAUAACCUCAACACAGGGAAACAAUGGAAUGAUGUGAAAGGACCCAUUCUAAAGAGACUAGAAGGAGAGGAUGAUGAAGAUUAGACCCUUAUUCAGAGCCACCCCCCUUUGACAUCAAUGCUAGAGAUAUUUAUACAUCAGUCGCUCAUCACAUAUUCACAUGGCCCCAAAGGUGAUUGGAACUCUUGUCCUGGAUGAUGAAAAACAGAAGAAACUGUCUUGCAGUUGUCCCAACCAGCUAUGGACAACUGAGAAAAUGCUGUGCUUGUUCUGUCAGUCGUUGGAGUAGUUUGUGCCUUUAAGCUGCCAAGAAUCGCACUCAGUUUGAUGUUGAACAGGAUUUUAAACAACCUUGAAAACAAGUCAUCCAUGUCCUACAUCCAUCAUUACUUCAAAAGGAUAGCAUCAUAUUCCAGAGUUCAACAGUUAAUUCAAGAGAUGAACCGAUUUCAGAUGGAGAUUCAGUCGAUGAAGUUUAGAUUUGAUGCAUGAAUCAGAAUUUGAAACACACAUGCCAUAUAAUAAUUUAAAAGAAAUAGAUUAAGAGGCUAUGCAAAAACCUUUUUGCAUGGUAAUAUAACACCAUAACACCACCAUGAAGUUCUACUUUUGAGGGAGUUGAUUCAUAAAAUGUGUACAUAUACUCAGUAUUUUACAUUGAAGAAUUAUGAAAGAUUUAAUAUAAGAUCAAAUUGUUAAUCUCUUAUUAUCUCUGUAUCCAGAAAUUAGCUCCUUUUUUUUAACUUGUCCCAAUACUUCCAAUUAAGGUUGAGUAUACUUUAUUGCUAUGAAACAAGGAAAAAAGGAGUCAAAACUGGGUAGAAAGGAACCAUUUUGUUCUUUUAUUGGGGCCAUGUUUCUAGAUUGGGGCAUACUUAUCUCUGUGUACAAAAAAAUGUGAUGCAAUGUAUUUAGAUGAACAUGGAGAUAAACAUUUAUUAAAAUGAUUGUUCGAAAUUAGACAAGUUUUCACCAGAUGAUUUUUGUUGUGUACUUUGUGGUCAUGCCAAUAAAUCUUUUUAAAGGGA